GACGAACGCUGGCGGCGUGCUUAACACAUGCAAGUCGAACGGAAAGGCCCUGCUUUUGUGGGGUGCUCGGGUGGCGAACGGGUGAGUAACACGUGAGUAACCUGCCCUUGACUUUGGGAUAACUUCAGGAAACUGGGGCUAAUACCGGAUAGGAGCUCCUGCUGCAUGGUGGGGGUUGGAAAGUUUCGGCGGUUGGGGAUGGACUCGCGGCCUAUCAGCUUGUUGGUGGGGUAGUGGCUUACCAAGGCUUUGACGGGUAGCCGGCCUGAGAGGGCGACCGGCCACAUUGGGACUGAGAUACGGCCCAGACUCCUACGGGAGGCAGCAGUGGGGAAUAUUGCACAAUGGGCGGAAGCCUGAUGCAGCAACGCCGCGUGCGGGAUGACGGCCUUCGGGUUGUAAACCGCUUUCGCCUGUGACGAAGCGUGAGUGACGGUAAUGGGUAAAGAAGCACCGGCUAACUACGUG
rnacentral:rRNA from 1 species